AGAGUUUGAUCCUGGCUCAGGAUGAACGCUAGCGGCAGGCUUAACACAUGCAAGUCGAGGGGCAGCGGGGUGUAGCAAUACACUGCCGGCGACCCCGGCGCACGGGUGCGUAACGCGUAUGCAACCUACCCAUAACAGGGGCAUAACACUGAGAAAUUGGUACUAAUUCCCCAUAACAUUCGAAGAGGCAUCUCUUUGGGUUGAAAACUCCGGUGGUUAUGGAUGGGCAUGCGUUGUAUUAGCUAGUUGGUGGGG
rnacentral:rRNA from 1 species